CACAUUUCAGGAGCUCUCCGUCCACAAUGGGGGAAUGGAGGAGCCCUGUGCAAGCACAUCGGGGCACAUUUCUUGCUCCCUCCUCUGCUCAAGUAUCCAGUAUCUACAUGCAAACCUGUAGUGUGUAGAGUCUUCUGUAUAAUUUUUGGUGGACUAAAAUUACUCAACAAUGUCAGUGUGUUUUGAAAAAAAAUACACCAAAGUAGUAGUCCAGACCCCCUCCUACAAGGAUUACAAGCCAGUCACUUCGGGUUCAUAUUACAGCUGUCAAGAUUUUUAGCACAAAGGCAGGGUCACCCCCAGAGCUGUGGUUAGUCCUGACCUGAAGGAAUUAGAGAAUCAGAGGCUCAAGGAGUGGUAGGCAGAUCCAUAACAAACCGCUUAUCUACCUACUAUUCACGUGGCAGGAAACUGAAAUAGUACUUUUGAUAAAAUGAAUUUUUAAAAUAAUUCUUUUACAUAUUCAAUACUGUACACAUUGUUAUUCAUAUGGUUUUUGCAAAAAGAAAUCAGAUGUUCCUACAACAUGAUUUAAGUUGUAGCAGAGUUAGCUAUAUAUAAACAUUGUUCUUAUUUUAAAAUUAACACUAUGUGUUCAAUUUCCCUAUGGGCUUCUGGAAGUUGCCAUCUUCCCUACAUGGCCCUCCAUUUGCUAUUGUAAUUAAUACAAUAUGAAGUAAAAUGAAGUAUCUAAAGAGAGAAAUACCAUGGUGGCUAGACACACACAUACACACACACACACACACACACAAAUACGAAAGUAUAUACAUAUAAGGGAUAGAGAUGCAAACACAUCUAUAAAAAGUAAAAACUGGCCCCAUUCUUCAAAACCUGAUUUUUUUUGUGUUGGAAAAUGUAUAUUAUUUGAUGAAGAGCUGGGUAGAAAAUGCCCUUUUCCAUGUUAGUGCAUUUAUUGGAUUAAAUUCUAAAAUGUUGCAUGUUUUUCUGCACUCAGAUUUAUGAAACUGGACCUACCAAAGUUAGUGUAGUCAUGUAAUGGGACUCGACUAAAUCGCAAGGCGGUGGGCAGGAAAUACCAUCGAAGAUCGUUUAAUUAAAAGGAUCUUAAUGCAUGGAUUUUGCUUGUUGAUAUGGAAAACAGUCACAUGGGGAGGAAAUCUUACGGCUACUUUUGCUUUUUAAGAUUGCUUUUCUAAAGUUAUUACAGAAAAUUGUUUUAUUUUGAUAGAGCCAGGUGUAUUGUAUUACUGACAUUUUCUUUGAACAGUUUUCCAAAGAAAUGUACAUGGAUUGACUGGUUGGUUGAUUUCUCUUGAAAUAUUGUCAGAAUCAAAGCAAAGUUUGAACAAAGGAAGGACUGUAUUCUAAUGUAAACUGUUAGUAUUCUUAAGAUCUACUUAGGAAUCAUGCAUUUACCUAAAAUGGGUCCGAGAUGCAGUGACAUUUAGUCGAUAAUCUGCUUUUGGAAAAAAUGCAGUUAGGAGCACUUUUAUAUUGGGGCAGAUGUAGUUAGCAGACAAACUUUUUGAGUUCUGUGCUCAUCUUUUUCCCAGAUCUUUUCUUGAAAGGGCAGAUGGCUUUUAUUACCCAAAGUUUUGACUAGUUUCUCAUUAAGGGUGGUUUUUACAUUGGACCGAAAUUUCCCUGUUCAGAAUAAAUUUGGUAGCCAGCCGUGAGUAUAAGGAGAAUGUUCCAUUCGUGGAAGUUUUAAUUGGUUGUGCCAAUUUACAAUGGACAGUUUUAUUGUCAGGUGCAAUUACUCCAUCAUGAAAUGUCAAACUUAGGCAACGGAAUAAAAUUCUAAAAAUUUCAGACAUCUUAUUAAUUAAUAGUUGACUGUGGUUUAAUUAAUUAGAAAAAAUAAAACAGAUAUGGAAAGUAAUUCUCAAAAACGGCAGUAAUUCUCUUCCUGGGGCAGGAUUGAGAUCCACUUCCCAGCCUCCGUUAUCUCUCCAGGGCUCGUCAGAAAGCGGUGCUGAAAGUGAGACCAUGCUGAAUUAGUUAGCAUUCCCGUCCUCAUUCUGGACUCUUCCCUCAUAGGGAAAACAUCUGUGCAGAUGCUACAGUACUGCGUAAGAUGACUUGUUCUCACAGCAUCAGAAACAGGACUACUUUGAAACUGGAUUUGUUCAGUGUAGGUUUCCUCUUCUUAGCAUGCUUUCUAGAUAGCUUUAGAUUUUUUUUUUUAUUUUGUACAGUCUCACUGACUUUUUCUUUCCUGGUAUGUUUAGGCACACUAGAUACAUUUGUAUGUGAUACAUGUAGAUAAAUCCUCAGCUACCUGGAUUUUUUAGUAGAUUUAGUUUGAAUGUCAUGUUUCUGGUCUUUUAACUCAAGGUUUGAGCUUUAAUAGGACUAAAUUACUCACCAUGCCUUGCUCUGUGCCUUUAUUUUAAAUACUGCAAUUUUACUUCUUCAUUUGCAUAUUUAUUAUUUUGCCUUUCUUGCUUAACUGUAAUUAAAAACAAAGGGAUAUAUUCAGGAUUAAUUGGAUCAAACUGAAUGGAUAGGACCAUUCUCUCCUGAUCAGACUUCUAUCCUUUAUUUGAUGUCAUUCACACACACCCUGAUGACUAACUAUAACCAAUGAACUGUGCAGAGGCAGUCUUUUUUUGCCAAAAUCUCCAAGAACUGUGACACAGUUAUGGUGUGAUUUUAUUGGGUUUCAGGUACAUAUGCAUGAUUUAGAUUUUGAAAAUCACUUCUAACCUUUAUUUCAGACAUGUGUUUGCUUUUGCUGAUUUUAUUUAGGGUUUAAUUCUUUAAAGACUUAUUCAUUAGUCACAUUAAUAUAUUCCCUUUUAUUGCCUGACUUUAAAAUCUCUGUAAAAUGUAAAUGAGCUGUCAGGUCUUGCCCCCCUCACCCUGUCCCCUGCUUGUCAGCAGCGCAUGGCCCUUCUGUUUUACCUUUGCAUAAGUAUCUGCCUUGAUACACAUUCCUGCCCAUUUCUUUAAACUCCUAAUCUUAAGUUUAAAUUAGUGAUUCCCAAUGCAAUACUUUACACUCUUUGGUUUUCAUCCUUUUUUGUACUGGAUAUUUUGGUUGUCUGAAGCAUUAGAUGGAUUUCUGGGGUGGUAAAAAUAGCAAAAAAAGAAAAAUUUCAGUGGUGUUCUGGUUCUAAAUUAAAAAGGUGGGAUAAAGAGAAAGACAUUAAUGUUUCCCAAGAAACAGUAUUUCAAAUUCAAAGAAGCAUUACUGUCUUCACUCAACUGCUAAGUUUCUGGCCUCUGGACCCCACAGUGGACAGCAGUGCCAUUUGCCUCAUGCAUGGUUGGACCUCACACUACAGGGCGUGUGAGGAUUUGGUAACUGAACGAGCAGACCCGAGUGUGCCCCUGCUGGGGUGUGGGUUCAUGUGGCCCAAGGACCCAGCCCGCGAGUUAAUUGCUGAGUCCAAUGUGUCAUGUAGAGAAGUGAGUUUACAUGUGUCAGGUGUCAGCUGAUAGUUUGAGGUACUUUGUAUUUGCAGAAGUGUAAAUGGCAAGUCUUUAUUCCUGCUGCAAAUUGAGGUUGCGAGGUGUAUCAUCUGGUCCCAGCUCACUGGAAAUAUCAUCAGACCAUGGGUGUUGCAGCUUUGGUUUUCCUUCACCCACUUGGAUAAUACCCAGUCCUAUGCCCUAUCUCCACCAGCCUAUGUAGAUGCCAUACAGGAAUAUUAUUUCCCAUAUAAUCUGUUGGAUGGCGUGUGUCCUACGUACGGAUUUGAUGCACACAUUGAAAGUACAUCAGAUUUAUCUGUGGAAGGUGCCCCUCAUUCACCAGACCCAACCAAGUGACCCAUGUGAAAUCAUGUGCUUGCCCAAAACACUGUGAAAGUUACCAAAAUUUAUAGACACGCAGCAUCUUGAAUCUUUCUGAAAAGAAAAGAGGUGGCUUUCUUUUCAAGUCCGUAUGAGCAAAAGAGAUCCUACAUCCCCACGUAGGUCAGGUCCCACGCUUUUGCCAGCAGUGAUCUCGCUGACCCCAACUGCUAAGGUGUAAGAUGGGUUACAAGCUGUCCAAAAUACAAUGCACUGCACAGAAAAAUCUGUAGAGUUGAUGGAUUUGUAUCCAAAGUUUUAGUGGGCUCUCUUUUAGGAGAAAGAAUUCCAAGUGAACAGUAUCCGACUUCAUUAUAGUUGAUGAGUUAGCAAACUUAAAACAAUUAUUUUAUAUGUAUGACAUAUAAAGAUCUUUGUAAAAUGCACAAGUGCAAUAAUUUAAAGAGGUCUUAACUUUGCAUUUAUAAAUUAUAAAUAUUGUACAUGUGUGUAAUUUUUCAUGUAUUCAUUUGCAGUCUUUGUAUUUAAAAGAAACCUUUACCGUUAUGUUUGUAUAAUAGAACAGUAAUCAUUUAUUAUAACCGAGGCAAGUUGUAAAUAAAUUCCUAAUUCAAACCGCCAGUAUAUAAGCAUAUAUGGGUGUUACACUGCAAAAUCUCGCUUUGUUUUACUUACAUGCUUAGAGCAGCAAGAAAUCUUUUGUCGAUAUGUAACUAUACACACAAAGUAUAUAUAUAUGUAUGAUACAUGAAAUAUAUGUAGAGAUGUUCAUAAUUUUAAUGGAUAUCCUUUGGUGUGAAUAAUUGAAUACAGAGUUUUU
rnacentral:lncRNA from 1 species